GGCGAAACUGGUAGACGCGGGCCGCGCGAGCGGUCUGUCUGGUCAGGCUGACGCAAACUGAGUCUCUCUCCCAACCUCACGAGGCCGAGCUCGCCAUCUCGAUCGCUGUCGCCCCAUGCUCAAGAAUGCCGGUUCGACUCCGGCAGUCGCCGCCA
rnacentral:tRNA from 1 species